AUUGCCCUAGUAACGGCGAGUGAAGCGGCAACAGCUCAAAUUUGAAAUCUGGCCUUAGGGUCCGAAUUGUAAUUUGUAGAGGAUGCUUUGGGUGUGGUGCCUUCCGAGUUCCCUGGAACGGGACGCCUUAGAGGGUGAGAGCCCCGUACGGUUGGACACUAAGCCUCUGUAAAGCUCCUUCGACGAGUCGAGUAGUUUGGGAAUGCUGCUCUAAAUGGGAGGUAAAUUUCUCCUAAAGCUAAAUACCGGCCAGAGACCGAUAGCGCACAAGUAGAGUGAUCGAAAGAUGAAAAGUACUUUGAAAAGAGGGUUAAAUAGUACGUGAAAUUGUUGAAAGGGAAGCGUUUACGGCCAGACUUGAACUUCCAGCGGAUCAUCCGGUGUUCUCACCGGUGCACUCCGCUGGGUUUAGGCCAGCAUCGGCUUCCGUAGGGGGAUAAAAGCUUUGGGAAAGUAGCUCCUUAGGGAGUGUUAUAGCCCGCUGUAUAAUACCCUUGCGGGGGCCGAGGACCGCGCUUUUUGCAAGGAUGCUGGCGUAAUGGUCGUCAACGACCCGUCUUGAAACACGGACCAAGGAGUCGAACAUUUGUGCGAGUGUUUGGGUGUUAAACCCUCACGCGUAAUGAAAGUGAACGGAGGUGAGAGCCCUCUAGGGGGUGCAUCAUCGACCGAUCCUGAUGUAUUCGGAUGGAUUUGAGUAGGAGCAUAACUGUUCGGACCCGAAAGAUGGUGAACUAUGCGUGGAUAGGGUGAAGCCAGAGGAAACUCUGGUGGAGGCUCGCAGCGGUUCUGACGUGCAAAUCGAUCGUCAAAUCUGCGCAUGGGGGCGAAAGUAAGUUAUAUUUUCUUAUUAGUGGGUUCGAGUCUCAGCAAGUAAGUUAACGACCAUGCUGGCCAUACCAAUUACUUGCCAAGACUUGUUCCCAUAUGGUCCGUCUUUCUUUUUUAUUGUAAAAUAAGCAUAUGCUAAUUGUCACACUUUACAGGACUUAUCGAACCAUCUAGUAGCUGGUUACCGCCGAAGUUUCCCUCAGGAUAGCAGUGUUGUUCUUCAGUUUUAUGAGGUAAAGCGAAUGAUUAGGGACUCGGGGGCGCUUAUUAGCCUUCAUCCAUUCUCAAACUUUAAAUAUGUAAGAAGCCCUUGUUGCUUAGUUGAACGUGGGCAUUCGAAUGUAUCAACACUAGUGGGCCAUUUUUGGUAAGCAGAACUGGCGAUGCGGGAUGAACCGAACGCGGGGUUAAGGUGCCGGAGUGGACGCUCAUCAGACACCACAAAAGGUGUUAGUACAUCUAGACAGUCGGACGGUGGCCAUGGAAGUCGGAAUCCGCUAAGGACUGUGUAACAACUCACCGACCGAAUGUACUAGCCCUGAAAAUGGAUGGCGCUCAAGCGUCCCACCCAUACCUCGCCCUCAGGGUAGAAACGAUGCCCUGAGGGAGUAGGCGGCCGUGGGGGUUAGUGACGAAGC
rnacentral:rRNA from 1 species